AGUCAACUUUUUCUCAGAGAAGUUUUUUGAGGGCUAGCAUGAAUAUUUCAUUUGAGAUAGCGCACUCCAUCCCUUCAAGAGAAGGGAGACCCAAGCGCUCGCAGAUCGUCGACGGUUCAGAUGUGACGAUAGGCGAAAGUAGGUAAAGAGAAACCCUAGGACCUUCAUAAUGACACUCUCUAAAAGUGUCGGGCUAAGUCUUUGUAAAAGGAUAUGUCAAAACAGGGCGAGGUUGGCUGAUAGCGACACGAAGAGGACACGGAUAAGACCUGAAAAGGUAGCAAGUAGGGCGUGCAGACGCUUGUAAAAAGUCCGUUUGAGAUUUGCAAUAGUCUCAGAGUAAUCUGAACC
rnacentral:sRNA from 12 species